rnacentral:rRNA from 1 species
UAGUUGGAUUUCUGUUAAUAAUUUAUAUAAAAUAUUUUGAUGAAUAUUUAUAUAAUAUUAACAUAAUUCAUAUUACUAUUUUUUUUUUUAGUAUAUGAAAUUUUACUUUGAGAAAAUUAGAGUGCUUAAAGCAGGCAUAUGCCUUGAAUACUCCAGCAUGGAAUAAUAUUAAAGAUUUUUAUCUUUUUUAUUGGUUCUAAGAUAAGAAUAAUGAUUAAUAGGGACAGUUGGGGGCAUUUGUAUUUAACAGUCAGAGGUGAAAUUCUUAGAUUUGUUAAAGACAAACUAAUGCGAAAGCAUUUGCCAAGGAUGUUUUCAUUAAUCAAGAACGAAAGUUAGGGGAUCGAAGACGAUCAGAUACCGUCGUAGUCUUAACCAUAAACUAUGCCAACUAG